UACGUAGGGUCCGAGCGUUGUCCGGAAUUAUUGGGCGUAAAGAGCUUGUAGGCGGUUUGUCGCGUCUGCUGUGAAAUUUCGGGGCUCAACCCCGAACUUGCAGUGGGUACGGGCAGACUAGAGUGUGGUAGGGGAGACUGGAAUUCCUGGUGUAGCGGUGAAAUGCGCAGAGUAUCAGGAGGAACACCGAUGGCGAAGGCAGGUCUCUGGGCCAUAACUGACGCUGAGAAGCGAAAGCAUGGGGAGCGAACAGG
rnacentral:rRNA from 1 species